UACGUAGGGUGCGAGCGUUAAUCGGAAUUACUGGGCGUAAAGCGUGCGCAGGCGGUGAUGUAAGUCGGAUGUGAAAUCUCCAGGCUCAACCUGGAGGGGUCAUUCGAUACUGCCGUGACUAGAGUUCGGUAGGGGAGUGUGGAAUUCCUGGUGGAGCGGUGAAAUGCGCAGAUAUCAGGAGGAACACCCGUAGCGAAGGCGGCACUCUGGGCCGAUACUGACACUGAGGAGCGAAAGCGUGGGGAGCGAACAGG
rnacentral:rRNA from 1 species